GUGCUUGUUUUGGCAACACAUAUACAAAAAUUAGAAUGAUACCAAGAAAAUUAAUGUAUCUCCUGCAAAUAAGGAUGACAUGCAAAUUUGUGAAACGUUUUACAUACAC